AUUGAACGCUGGCGUCAGGCCUAACACAUGCAAGUCGAGCGAGCGGCGGACGGGUGAGUAAUGUCUGGUAAACUGCCUGAUGGAGGGGGAUAACUACUGGAUACGGUAUCUAAUACCGCAUUCCAUCCGAUUUGCCAAGAUGGGAUUAGCUAGUAGGUGGGGUAAUGGCUCACUUAGGCGACGAUCCCUAGCUGGUCUGCGAGGAUGACCAGCCACACUGGAACUGAGACACGGUCCAGACUCCUACGGGAGGCAGCAGUGGGGAAUAUUGCACAAUGGGCGCAAGCCUGAUGCAGCCAUGCCGCGUGUAUGAAGAAGGCCUUCGGGUUGUAAAGUACUUUCAGUCGGGAGGCGUUACCGACAGAAGAAGCACCGGCUAACUCCGUGCCAGCAGCCGCGGUAAUUC
rnacentral:rRNA from 1 species